rnacentral:tRNA from 1 species
GCCCGGGUGGUGCAAUCGGUCGACACACGCGGUCUUAAAAACCGCUGCCCGAAAGGGCGUGCGGGUUCGAAUCCCGCCCCGGGCA